rnacentral:rRNA from 1 species
AGUGAACGCUGGCGGUAGGCCUAACACAUGCAAGUCGAACGGCAGCACAGUAAGAGCUUGCUCUUACGGGUGGCGAGUGGCGGACGGGUGAGGAAUACAUCGGAAUCUACUUUUUCGUGGGGGAUAACGUAGGGAAACUUACGCUAAUACCGCAUACGACCUACGGGUGAAAGCAGGGGAUCUUCGGACCUUGCGCGAUUGAAUGAGCCGAUGUCGGAUUAGCUAGUUGGCGGGGUAAAGGCCCACCAAGGCGACGAUCCGUAGCUGGUCUGAGAGGAUGAUCAGCCACACUGGAACUGAGACACGGUCCAGACUCCUACGGGAGGCAGCAGUGGGGAAUAUUGGGCAAUGGGCGCAAGCCUGAUCCAGCCAUACCGCGUGGGUGAAGAAGGCCUUCGGGUUGUAAAGCCCUUUUGUUGGGAAAGAAAAGCAGCAGGUUAAUACCCCGCUGUUCUGACGGUACCCAAAGAACAAGCACCGGCUAACUUCGUG